AAACGCUUGAAGUUAGUCGCAUUGGCUAGAGAUCAACUUGGCUUUUGCUUGGUGUAUUCUCUAGUUAAUGGGUCAACAUCAGUUUUGACUAUUGGAUAAGAGUUAAAGGGAUGUGGCUCCUUUAGGAGUGUUAUAGCC
rnacentral:rRNA from 1 species